rnacentral:rRNA from 1 species
UACAGAGGGUGCAAGCGUUGCUCGGAAUCAUUGGGCGUAAAGGGUAGGUAGGUGGUCUCAUUUGUCUGGGGUGAAAGCCUUGGGCUUAACCCAAGAAGUGCCCCAGAAACGGUGAGACUCGAGUGCUGGAGAGGGUCGUGGAAUUCCCGGUGUAGCGGUGAAAUGCGUAGAGAUCGGGAGGAACACCAGAGGCGAAGGCGGCGACCUGGACAGUUACUGACACUAAACUACGAAAGCGUGGGGAGCAAACAGG